rnacentral:rRNA from 1 species
UCGAACGAGAAAUUCCGGGCUUGCUCGGAAUAGUAAAGUGGCGCACGGGUGAGUAACACGUGGGUAAUCUGCCCUUGAAUCUGGGAUAACCCGCCGAAAGGCGGACUAAUACCGGAUAUUGUCUCAUAGGCUAUGGCUUUUAAGAUGAAAGGUGACCUCUUCAUGAAAGUUGCCGUUCGAGGAUGGGCCCGCGUACCAUUAGCUUGUUGGUAGGGUAAUAGCCUACCAAGGCGACGAUGGUUAGCUGGUCUGAGAGGAUGAUCAGCCACACUGGAACUGAAACACGGUCCAGACUCCUACGGGAGGCAGCAGUGAGGAAUUUUGCGCAAUGGGGGAAACCCUGACGCAGCAACGCCGCGUGAGUGAAGAAGGCCUUCGGGUCGUAAAGCUCUGUCAAGUGGGAAAAAAUGUCCCGGGUCAAUAGCCCGGGAAAUUGAUGGUACCAUUGGAGGAAGCACCGGCUAACUCCGUGCCAGCAGCCGCGGUAAUACGGAGGGUGCAAGCGUUGUUCGGAAUU